rnacentral:rRNA from 1 species
GAUGAACGCUGACAGAAUGCUUAACACAUGCAAGUCUACCAAGAAUCACUUCGGUGAGGAAUGGUGGCGGACGGGUGAGUAACGCGUAAAUAAUCUGCCCUUUAGACUGGGAUAUCCUUUGGAAACGAAGGUUAAUACCGGAUAUUAUGAGAUGGACGCAUGUUCAACUUAUGAAAGCUAAAUGCACUAGAGGAGGAGUUUGCGUCCCAUUAGCUAGUUGGUGAGGUAAAGGCUCACCAAGGCCACGAUGGGUAGCCGGCCUGAGAGGGUGAACGGACACAAGGGAACUGAGACACCGUCCUUACUCCUACGGUAGGCAGCAGUGGGGAAUAUUGGACAAUGGACCAAAAGUCUGAUCCAGCAAUUCUGUGUGCACGAUGAAGGUCUUCGGAUUGUAAAGUGCUGUCAGUAGGGAAGAAAAAAAUGACGGUACCUACAGAAGAAGCGACGGCUAAAUAUGUGCCAGCAGCCGCAGUAA